rnacentral:rRNA from 1 species
UACGGAGGGUGCAAGCGUUGUCCGGAAUCAUUGGGCGUAAAGCGCGUGUAGGCGGCCCGGUAAGUCCGCUGUGAAAGUCCAGGGCUCAACCCUGGGAUGCCGGUGGAUACUGUCGGGCUCGAGUCCGGAAGAGGCGAGUGGAAUUCCUGGUGUAGCGGUGAAAUGCGCAGAUAUCAGGAGGAACACCGAUGGCGAAGGCAGCUCGCUGGGACGUGACUGACGCUGAGACGCGAAAGCGUGGGGAGCAAACAGG